AACUCCUAGCGGUGGAUCGCUCGGCUUGUGCGUCGAUGAAGUUACGCAGCUAGCUGCGAGAACUAAUGUGAAUUGCAGGACACAUUGGUCAUGGACACUUCGAACACACCUUGCGGCUCCGGGUCCCUUCCGGAGCUGCACCUGUCUGAGGGUCG